AUCGUACCCCAAACCGACACAGGUGGUCAGGUAGAGAAUACCAAGGCGCUUGAGAGAACUCGGGUGAAGGAACUAGGCAAAAUGGUGCCGUAACUUCGGGAGAAGGCACGCUGAUAUGUAGGUGAAGCGACUUGCUCGUGGAGCUGAAAUCAGUCGAAGAUACCAGCUGGCUGCAACUGUUUAUUAAAAACACAGCACUGUGCAAACACGAAAGUGGACGUAUACGGUGUGACGCCUGCCCGGU
rnacentral:rRNA from 1 species